AUUGAACGCUGGCGGCAGGCCUAACACAUGCAAGUCGAACGAGUGGCGGACGGGUGAGUAAUGUCUGGGAAACUGCCUGAUGGAGGGGGACAACAACUGGAAACGGUAGCUAAUACCGCAUACCAUCGGAUGUGCCCAGAUUGUAUGAGCUUGUUGGUGGGGUAACGGCUCACCAAGGCGAGGAUCCCUAGCUGGUCUGAGAGGAUGAUCAGCAACAUUGGAACUGAGCCACGGUCCAGACUCCUACGGGAGGCAGCAGUGGGGAAUAUUGGACAAUGGGCGAAAGCCUGAUGCAGCCAUGCCGCGUGUGUGAAGAAGGUCUUCGGGUUGUAAAGUACUUUAAGCGGGGAGGCGUUACCCACAGAAGAAGCACCGGCUAACUCCGUGCCAGCAGCCGCGGUAAUAC
rnacentral:rRNA from 1 species